UGAGAUGAUGAAAUGCACUGGGCUCUGAUUAACAUUUGAAGCAAAUGCAUUUGCCUAGAAAGCAUCGUCUGAUAC